AAGUCCAAAAGUACCUGGGAGUGUUUCAAACUCGAACACCAUUUUAAAGACGGACGAGAAAGAAGAGGGAGUAAAAGAAGGAAUAAAACUGAAAAAAGAACGAAGGACAACAGCAGAGACAGUUUCCACAGGACGGACAUUCAGCUAAAGAACUACAUUUAACAGAGGUUGGCUAAUUUGGGUCAGAACCCAUUUCUGGUCUAAUCUGUUCUGUAGUGUUCCAGUCUCCUGAGAUAGGGCGCACUGUUUCUAAAAUGAGUCUCUCAGGGGAGCCAGAGACCAAAGAAGGAACCCUCAGCACUAAGAGGAAGAGGGUCCAGGUAGAAAGAGCAAGGUCACCUGCACCCAGCUGUGUGUCCCUGAAGAGUGAUGAUUCAAUGGAACCUCCGCUCAAGAUCAGAAGAGAGUUCACAGGUGACCAAAGGUAAUUAAAUAGGCUUAAAUUGACGCUACUAUUUAACCCCUUAACCCCAAGCAUUUAAAAAGGAAAUUUCCAACCUGGUUUGGAGUGCUCUUAAAGGUCCAGGAAACUAGAUUGUUGUUAUAUUCCCUAGAAGUGACGACAGAUUUUCUUCUUUAUGCUU